rnacentral:tRNA from 1 species
AUCCGGGUAGUAUAAUUUGGUUAGUAUCCCAGGUUGUGGCCCUGGGGACCCGAGUUCAAAUCUCGGCCCGGAUC